GACGAACGCUGGCGGCGUGCUUAACACAUGCAAGUCGAACGGAAAGGCCCUGCUUGCAGGGUACUCGAGUGGCGAACGGGUGAGUAACACGUGGGUGAUCUGCCCUGCACUUCGGGAUAAGCCUGGGAAACUGGGUCUAAUACCGGAUAGGAGCCAUUUUUAGUGUGAUGGUUGGAAAGUUUUUUCGGUGUAGGAUGAGCUCGCGGCCUAUCAGCUUGUUGGUGGGGUAAUGGCCUACCAAGGCGGCGACGGGUAGCCGGCCUGAGAGGGUGGACGGCCACAUUGGGACUGAGAUACGGCCCAGACUCCUACGGGAGGCAGCAGUGGGGAAUAUUGCACAAUGGGCGCAAGCCUGAUGCAGCGACGCCGCGGGGGGGAGGACGGCCUUCGGGUUGUAAACGCCUUUCGCUAGGGACGAAGCUUUUUGUGACGGUACCUAGAGAAGAAGCACCGGCUAACUACGUG
rnacentral:rRNA from 1 species